rnacentral:lncRNA from 1 species
UUUAAAGGGGCUUUGUUCUAUUCUAUGUCCGGCGACUUCGCGAAUCUACCUUAUGACUUCGUGAAUGAAAGAGAGGGUUUUUAGAUGGGUUCGAAUGGCAGAAAGGGAUUUCGCAUGGGUUCUGUUCUCUAAGAAUUGGAAGAGAAAGCGAGAAGGAGGGGUUUUCGAUCUGUAGGAAUUGGAAGAAUAAGAGAGAAGGAGGGAGUCUUCCCACUGAAUUCGCGAGAAGGAGGGGUUUUCGAUCUGUAGGAAUUGGA